GUCCACGCCGUAAACGAUGGGUGCUAGGUGUGGGCGGUGUCGACUCCGUCCGUGCCGAAGCUAACGCAUUAAGCACCCCGCCUGGGGAGUACGGCCGCAAGGCUAAAACUCAAAGGAAUUGACGGGGCCCGCACAAGCAGCGGAGCAUGUGGUUCAAUUCGACGCAACGCGAAGAACCUUACCGAGACUUGACAUGCACUGGAAUGUCGUAGAAAUACGGCAGCCCUUCGGGGCUAGUGUACAGGUGGUGCAUGGCUGUCGU
rnacentral:rRNA from 1 species